rnacentral:rRNA from 1 species
ACGGAGGAUCCAAGCGUUAUCCGGAUUUAUUGGGUUUAAAGGGUCCGUAGGCGGGUCUUUAAGUCAGUGGUGAAAGCCUGCAGCUUAACUGUAGAAUUGCCAUUGAUACUGGAGACCUUGAGUGUAGUAGAAGUAGGCGGAAUAAGGCAUGUAGCGGUGAAAUGCAUAGAUAUGCCUUAGAACACCGAUUGCGAAGGCAGCUUACUAUGUUACAACUGACGCUGAGGGACGAAAGCGUGGGGAGCGAACAGG